rnacentral:rRNA from 1 species
UUCGUAGGGGGCAAGCGUUGUCCGGAAUUAUUGGGCGUAAAGAGCGUGUAGGCGGUCCGGUAAGUCGGCUGUGAAAGUCCAGGGCUCAACCCUGGGAUGCCGGUCGAUACUGCCGGACUAGAGUUCGGAAGAGGCGAGUGGAAUUCCCGGUGUAGCGGUGAAAUGCGCAGAUAUCGGGAGGAACACCUAUGGCGAAGGCAGCUCGCUGGGACGUUACUGACGCUGAGACGCGAAAGCGUGGGGAGCAAACAGG